UACGUAGGGGGCAAGCGUUGUCCGGAAUCAUUGGGCGUAAAGGGCGCGUAGGCGGCCAGCGCAAGUCAGUUGUGAAAUCUCCGGGCUUAACUCGGAAAGGUCAACUGAUACUGCGCGGCUAGAGUGCGGAAGGGGCAACUGGAAUUCUCGGUGUAGCGGUGAAAUGCGUAGAUAUCGAGAGGAACACCUGCGGCGAAGGCGGGUUGCUGGGCCGACACUGACGCUGAUGCGCGAAAGCCAGGGGAGCGAACGGG
rnacentral:rRNA from 1 species